rnacentral:rRNA from 1 species
GAUGAACGCUGGCGGCGUGCCUAACACAUGCAAGUCGAGCGAACAGACGAGGAGCUUGCUCCUCUGACGUUAGCGGCGGACGGGUGAGUAACACGUGUAUAACCUACCUAUAAGACUGGGAUAACUACGGGAAACCGGAGCUAAUACCGUAUAAUAUAUUGAACCGCAUGGUUCAAUAGUGAAAUACGGUUUUGCUGUCUCUUAUAGAUGGAUCCGCGCCGCAUUAGCUAGUUGGUAAGGUAACGGCUUACCAAGGCUACGAUGCGUAGCCGACCUGAGAGGGUGAUCGGCCACACUGGAACUGAGACACGGUCCAGACUCCUACGGGAGGCAGCAGUAGGGAAUCUUCCGCAAUGGGCGCAAGCCUGACGGAGCAACGCCGCGUGAGUGAUGAAGGUCUUCGGAUCGUAAAACUCUGUUAUUAGGGAAGAACAGAUGUCUAAGUAAAUAUGCAGGUCUUGACGGUACCUGAUCAGAAAGCCACGGCUAACUACGUG